ensembl:Y_RNA Y_RNA Y RNA
GGCUGGUCCAAAGGUGAGUUAUUUCAAUUGAUUGUUCAGUCAGUUACAGAUUGAACUCCUUAUUCUGCUCUUUACCCACUUCUCACUACUGCGUUUAACUAGUCUUUC